GGAAUUUUUUACUAUUUCGUCAUUAUAUAUAAUUGUAAAAUUUGUCAUGAUGCUCUCUAUAUAAAGUGCUGCAACAAGUGCGGGAUCUCAUCAUUCUCCUUAUAGUUUUUUUUUCUUUUCCCCACACGGUACUGGACACCUAAAAAAGUCGGGACUUUUUGGCUUUGCUGCAAACUAACAUCCGGAGAAAUCAGAAAUAUUUUCAAGGUGAUUUUUUUUGCACGAUAAUAUUUUCAAGGCAUGGCGAAAAAUCAGCAGAUUAGAAAGCUGCAAAAGUAUGUUGAUGAGGAGAUUCAGAAUCAUGUUUUUUUAUAAGCCAAUAAGGAAUGUGCGCUUAUAUUUCCCUAUGAUUUUUUGUGUUUUAGCCCUUCCUGCUUCACUGUUGUUGUUGUUGUUGUGUGAUAUACCAGAUCAGAAAGAUUAUGAUCCUUCGCAGUUAUUUUUUUCUUCUUCAUGAUCGAUAAGGGUUAUGAUGCUUCAAAUUUUUCUUGGCUUAUUUUAGGGUUUGAUCAUUUGGUUUGUGAUUGAAGAAGCUACAAAAGAAACCAGCUUGAGUGUAAUCAAUGAAGCCAUCUCAAAUACAACUGAAUUCCGUGAAACUAUGAACUCUGUGUUCUUAAAAUAAGAUGUAUGGUCCUUUCCUUUCUUUGGUUUAAUUGCUAUGUAUGUUGAUGAUUUAUUUUGUGUUGAUUUUUAGGUGAAGAGAAACUUUUGUUUUCUAUAUGUACGUUGUUAGUGGGAACAAUUAUGGUAGUAGUGAUUCAUGGAUCGAGUAUAACAUAAUGAAUGAACCAAAUACGGAUGAUGGCCAGGAAACCUUUAGCUUCGAAACACGUUUAUCACGCACAACAAACCAUUUUGGUUAAAUGGUUUAAACAUUGAUGUGAUUUCUUCGUAAGUAAUUUUUUCUUCCGUUAUCUGCUGAAUUUUCUCGGUGGGACUUUUCAUUUUGUUGCUCUAAAAUUAGGAAAUGGAUUCACACCUAAAUUGCUGAUGGUAUCCGUUCAAGGACAAUGAAAAGCUAAAAUCAUGAGAUCCUGGACGUUAAGAACCCUUUUCAGCAGUGAAAAUGGUAUUUAUGGACGUUGAUAAGGUGAACUGAGAUCGUUAAGCACUUGAAAUAUAUGCUCUGCGCCUCUGCCCAAUUAAGAGCUGAUGGUACUCUUUGAGAGUCUUCCCUUCUGCCAGUCUACUACCUCUUGAUUUGCUUUCGCAGCUGGAUUCCGUAGGACCAUUGAUUUGAAUUUACCUUCAUCAACAUACCAUGGCCAAGAUUUGAUGCUAGGGGAUAACAUUAGUCUCAAUGGUUUAGCCCAGGUUUAGCCCGUUUGGAAGCAAGCAGUCUCGAUGCAUUUUAAAAUUACUCUUUUUUCGGCUUAGACAAGAAAGGGGGAUUAUCGGCAGCAGCCGGAACAACUAACAACCCAUUUCUGGACUUUAAAAUUGGUGUUGAGGGCCUGUGGCUCAUGGAUGUGCGGUUCAUUAGAUAACUAGGUUUUUCCUUUCCUAUAUAUAGAGAACAUUGUAUGUAUGUAAUCUAUGAUGCCUCUUUAUCAAUAAGAAGUUCUUCUCC